UACGUAGGGUGCGAGCGUUGUCCGGAAUUAUUGGGCGUAAAGAGCUUGUAGGCGGUUUGUCGCGUCUGCUGUGAAAAUCCGGGGCUCAACCCCGGACUUGCAGUGGGUACGGGCAGACUAGAGUGUGGUAGGGGAGACUGGAAUUCCUGGUGUAGCGGUGAAAUGCGCAGAUAUCAGGAGGAACACCGAUGGCGAAGGCAGGUCUCUGGGCCGGUAAACUG
rnacentral:rRNA from 1 species